rnacentral:tRNA from 1 species
GUGCGUAUAAUUUAAAAAAAUACUAGAUUGUGAUUCUAGAAAUGA